rnacentral:tRNA from 1 species
AGUCCUGUAGCACUAUGGCAGUGCACCGGGUUUAUAACCCGUACUCCUGAUAAGAGGGUUAAGUGGGUCCGAUUCCCACCGGGACUA